UACGUAGGGGGCAAGCGUUGUCCGGAAUCAUUGGGCGUAAAGAGCGUGUAGGCGGCCCGGUAAGUCCGCUGUGAAAGUCCAGGGCUCAACCCUGGGAUGCCGGUGGAUACUGUCGGGCUCGAGUCCGGAAGAGGAGUGUGGAAUUCCUGGUGUAGCGGUGAAAUGCGCAGAUAUCAGGAGGAACACCUGCGGUGUAGACGGCUUACUGGACCAUAACUGACGCUGAGGCACGAAAGCGUGGGUAGCAAACAGG
rnacentral:rRNA from 1 species